UCCUCAAAUUUUGCGUUCACGUUUACAGAUAGCUCGGUGUACAUUCUCUGACAUGCUCUCUAUCUGGCGGUUCUCGGUGCUCGCUUGAUUUUUCCCCACUUUGGUCGUGUGAGAGGCCAAAAUCGAAGUUUUGCAGCCGCAGAAUCGCUGCUCUGUUUGACUUGUUCAUUGUCCUUUGCGCUCGGUGAGAGUUGAAGAACGGCCACACACCAACGCCAGCAGCUCCAAGAGGCCGUCCAGAAGACACACCAGCAGCGUCGACUGAAGGUGGCUGACACUGUCCAUUGAUCAAGAAUGUCC